CUCGCUGCGCGUGUUUGGACAUGUCUCCGGGCAUGUCCCCCCGUGCGUCUGCGGGCUCGUCUCCACGCAGGGCCUGCCGUUCCCCACUGCCUGCGGGCAGCUCUCCCCCUUCUUCCCACCGUGGAGCCACGGUGGGUACCAGCGUCCCAGCCUGCGGUCCCAUCGCUGCUCUGCCUUCUGCUCACCGUGUCCUUAGUGCUGCGAGGGGCUCCACGCAGGGGGAAAAGAGCAAAGCCACGCUGUUGGGCGGUCCGGGGGGCAGUGGGGGGUAGCGAGCCGAAAGGCAGGCUGCUCGUCGUGGGAAGAGCCUUCCCACGGGGCCGGAUAGCAGCCCUGGGCACCCAGAAAUACCCGUUUUGGUCUUUCAGGCGUUUCCUGCGCACUGCUUAACAGCACGUGUUCCCUUUGUGCAGCCCGGAGACAAGGAGGCUCCCAGGAGGCCCUACUGCGGCCUUCCAGUACUUGAAGGGGGCUUAUAAACAAGAGGGGAACUGAUUUGGUACGUGGUCUGAUAGUGACAGCACAAGGAGUGAUUUUAAGAUAAAUAGGAUUUAGAUUAGGGGGUAGGAGGCAAUUCUUUACUUGGGGAGCAGGGAGGCAGUGGCACAGGUUGCCCGAGGAAGCUGUGGGUGCCCCAUCCUGGAGGUGUUGAAGGCCAGGUUGGAUGGAGCCCUGGGCAGCCUGAGCUGAGCGAGAGGAACAAAAAGCUGCUUGAUACCCCUCUUACAAUAGGAAGGAGAUGCGCCGGGCUGUGUGGGAGGAGCCGCUCGAUUCUUCCAUGUAGCGCCGGGUACACACGCUUCGAGCAGCAUUAAGUGUUCCUCAGAGCAGGGAACAGAGCGUUCCAGCAGGAUCUAACACACAGGCAAAGACUGAAAGCCAUUUUCUUCACAAUUACGCAGUGCAUUAAUACAAGAGCCUGAGCUUGCAGAGAACAAACCUACUGUUCCAGUUCUUUAUCUUGCCUUUUAUUUUCUACUUCGUAAUUCAGUUUCAAAAUUUUUAAGAGAUUGCUUGAGUUUUUUUUUAAAACAUGAUUUAUUUUUAAAUUCAACGCUUCAUAAAAGCCCGACUUACAAAAAAUUAUGUGAGAGAGACAGCAGUCACAUAGAG
rnacentral:lncRNA from 1 species